rnacentral:pre_miRNA from 1 species
UUAGUACUCCCUCCGUCCGGAAAUACUUGUCAUCAAAAUGAAUAAAAGGGAAUGUAUCUAGAUGUAUUUUAGUUCUAGAUACAUCCCUUUUUGUCCAUUUUGAUGACAAGUAUUUUCGGACGGAGGGAGUAUCAU